rnacentral:tRNA from 2 species
CGCGCGGUAGAGCAGUUGGCAGCUCGUUGGGCUCAUAACCCAAAGGUCGCAGGUUCAAAUCCUGCCCGCGCUA